rnacentral:rRNA from 1 species
AUUGAACGCUGGCGGCAUGCCUUACACAUGCAAGUCGAACGGCAGCGCGGGGCAACCUGGCGGCGAGUGGCGAACGGGUGAGUAACAUAUCGGAACAUACCCUAGAGUGGGGGAUAACGUAGCGAAAGUUACGCUAAUACCGCAUACGCACUAAGGUGGAAAGUGGGGGAUCUUCGGACCUCAUGCUCAUGGAGUGGCCGAUAUCUGAUUAGGUAGUUGGUGAGGUAAAGGCUCACCAAGGCGACGAUCUGUAGCUGGUCUGAGAGGACGACCAGCCACACUGGGACUGAGACACGGCCCAGACUCCUACGGGAGGCAGCAGUGGGGGAAUUUUGGACAAUGGGCGCAAGCCUGAUCCAGCAAUGCCGCGUGCAGGAUGAAGG